rnacentral:rRNA from 1 species
CUUUACUGCAACUUGACGUUGGAACUUGGCUGUAUUUGUGUAGGAUAGGUGGGAGACUUUGAAGCAGGGCCGCCAGGUCUUGCGGAGUCGUCGUUGAAAUACCACCCUGGUGCUGACGAGUCUCUAACCGUGUCCGUAAGCCGGACAUGAGACAGCGUCUGGUGGGCAGUUUGACUGGGGCGGUCGCCUCCUAAAAGGUAACGGAGGCAUUCAAAGGUUUUCUCAGCGUGGUCGGUAAUCACGCGCAGAGUGCAAACGCAUAAGGGGGCUUAACUGUGAGACCGACAGGUCGAGCAGGUACGAAAGUAGGAGUUAGUGAUCCCGCGGUUUAGCGUGGAAUUGCCGUUGCUCAAUGGAUAAAAGGUA